rnacentral:rRNA from 1 species
UACGAAGGGGGCUAGCGUUGUUCGGAAUUACUGGGCGUAAAGCGCACGUAGGCGGAUAUUUAAGUCAGGGGUGAAAUCCCAGAGCUCAACUCUGGAACUGCCUUUGAUACUGGGUAUCUCGAGUAUGGAAGAGGCGAGUGGAAUUCCCGGUGUAGCGGUGAAAUGCGCAGAUAUCGGGAGGAACACCAAUGGCGAAGGCGGCUCACUGGCCCGGUACUGACGCUGAGGCGCGAAAGCGUGGGGAGCAAACAGG